AGUGAACGCUGGCGGUAGGCCUAACACAUGCAAGUCGAACGGCAGCACAGUAAGAGCUUGCUCUUACGGGUGGCGAGUGGCGGACGGGUGAGGAAUACAUCGGAAUCUACUUUUUCGUGGGGGAUAACGUAGGGAAACUUACGCUAAUACCGCAUACGACCUACGGGUGAAAGCAGGGGAUCUUCGGACCUUGCGCGAUUGAAUGAGCCGAUGUCGGAUUAGCUAGUUGGCGGGGUAAAGGCCCACCAAGGCGACGAUCCGUAGCUAGUCUGAGAGGAUGAUCAGCCACACUGGAACUGAGACACGGUCCAGACUCCUACGGGAGGCAGCAGUGGGGAAUAUUGGACAAUGGGCGCAAGCCUGAUCCAGCCAUACCGCGUGGGUGAAGAAGGCCUUCGGGUUGUAAAGCCCUUUUGUUGGGAAAGAAAAGCAGCAGGUUAAUACCCCGCUGUUCUGACGGGACCCAAAGAAUAAGCACCGGCUAACUUCGU
rnacentral:rRNA from 1 species